UACGUAGGGCGCAAGCGUUGUCCGGAAUUAUUGGGCGUAAAGAGCUCGUAGGCGGGCCGCCACGUCAGUCGCUGAAAUCCCCCGGCUCAACCGGGGAAGUGGCACUGAUACGAGCGGCCUGGAGGGAGGUAGGGGGGGCUGGAACUUCCGGUGGAGCGGUGAAAUGCGUUGAGAUCGGAAGGAACGCCCGUGGCGAAAGCGAGCCCCUGGACCUUUUCUGACGCUGAGACGCGAAAGCUAGGGGAGCGAACGGG
rnacentral:rRNA from 1 species